rnacentral:rRNA from 1 species
GGCUGUCGUCAGCUCGUGUCGUGAGAUGUUGGGUUAAGUCCCGCAACGAGCGCAACCCCCUGCCAUUAGUUGCCAUCGGGUUAGCNNNGCACUUUAAUGGGACUGCCGGUGACAAACCGGAGGAAGGUGGGGAUGACGUCAAGUCCUCAUGGCCCUUAUGGGUAGGGCUUCACACGUCAUCCAAUGGUCGGUACAGAGGGUAGCCAAGCCGCA